GAACGUCGUGAGACAGUUCGGUCCCUAUCUGCCGUGGGUGUUCGAGACUUGAGAGGAGCUGUCCCUAGUACGAGAGGACCGGGAUGGACGCACCUCUGGUGGACCGGUUGUGGCGCCAGCCGCAUAGCCGGGUAGCUAUGUGCGGACGGGAUAACCGCUGAAAGCAUCUAAGCGGGAAGCACGCUUCAAGAUAAGGGUUCCCACAGGUGAUCCUGGUAAGGUCCCCGAGAGAUGAUCGGGUUGAUAGGCCAGACGUGGACGCAUCGUAAGGUGUGGAGCUGACUGGUACUAAUAGACCGA
rnacentral:rRNA from 1 species